CGGGAAUUUUGGGCAAUGGGCGAAAGCCUGACCCAGCAACGCCGCGUGAGGGAUGAAGUAUUUCGGUAUGUAAACCUCGAAAGAAUGGGAAGAAUAAGUGACGGUACCAUUUAUAAGCUCCGGCUAACUACGUGCCAGCAGCCGCGGUAAUACGUAGGGAGCAAGCGUUGUUCGGAUUUACUGGGCGUAAACGGCGCGUAGGCGGCGCGGUAAGUCACUUGUGAAAUCUCUGAGCAUAACUCAGAACGGCCAAGUGAUACUGCUGUGCUAGAGUGCGGAAGAGGCAACCGGAAUUCUUGGUGUAGCGGUGAAAUGCGUAGAUAUCAAGAGGAACACCUGAGGCGAAGGCGGGUUGCUGGGCCGACACUGACGCUGAUGCGCGAAAGCCAGGGGAGCAAACG
rnacentral:rRNA from 1 species